ACCUGAGUGGCUCAGUCGAUUGAGCCUCUGACUUCCACUCAGGUCAUAAUCUUGCAUUCCGUGGGUUCGAGCCCCACAUCGGGCU
rfam:Felis catus isolate Cinnamon breed Abyssinian chromosome B2, whole genome shotgun sequence.